CCUACGGGGUGCAGCAGUGAGGAAUAUUGGUCAAUGGGCGCGAGCCUGAACCAGCCAAGUAGCGUGAAGGAUGACUGCCCUACGGGUUGUAAACUUCUUUUAUAAAGGAAUAAAGUGAGGCACGUGUGCCUUUUUGUAUGUACUUUAUGAAUAAGGAUCGGCUAACUCCGCGCCAGCAGCCGCGGUAAUACGGUGGAUCCGAGCGUUAUCCGGAUUUAUUGGGUUUAAAGGGCGCGUAGAUGGGUUGUUAAGUCAGUUGUGAAAGUUUGCGGCUCAACCGUAAAAUUGCAAUUGAUACUGGCAGCCUUGAGUACAGUUGAGGUAGGCGGAAUUCGUGGUGUAGCGGUGAAAUGCUUAGAUAUCGCGAAUAACUCCGAUUGCGAAGGCAGCCUACUAAACUGCCACUGACAUUGAUGCUCGAAAGUGUGGGUAUCAAACAGGAGUAGAUACCCGAGUAGUC
rnacentral:rRNA from 1 species